rnacentral:rRNA from 1 species
CCUACGGGACGCAGCAGUGGGGAAUAUUGCGCAAUGGACGAAAGUCUGACGCAGCGACGCCGCGUGAGGGAUGAAGGUUUUCGGAUCGUAAACCUCUGUCAGGAGGGAAGAAAGCGCAUGGCGCCAAUCAGCCAUGCGUUGACGGUACCUCCAAAGGAAGCGCCGGCUAACUCCGUGCCAGCAGCCGCGGUAAUACGGAGGGCGCGAGCGUUGUCCGGAUUUAUUGGGUUUAAAGGGUGCGUAGGCGGGUUAUCAAGUCAGCGGUAAAAUCGUGGUGCUCAACUCCAUCCAGCCGUUGAAACUGG